rnacentral:rRNA from 1 species
AGAGUUUGAUCCUGGCUCAGGACGAACGCUGGCGGCGCGCCUAACACAUGCAAGUCGAACGAGAGAGAGGGAGCUUGCUUCCUUGAUCGAGUGGCGAACGGGUGAGUAACGCGUGAGGAACCUGCCUCAAAGAGGGGGACAACAGUUGGAAACGACUGCUAAUACCGCAUAAGCCCACGACCCGGCAUCGGGAAGAGGGAAAAGGAGCAAUCCGCUUUGAGAUGGCCUCGCGUCCGAUUAGCUAGUUGGUGAGGUAACGGCCCACCAAGGCGACGAUCGGUAGCCGGACUGAGAGGUUGAACGGCCACAUUGGGACUGAGACACGGCCCAGACUCCUACGGGAGGCAGCAGUGGGGAAUAUUGCACAAUGGGGGAAACCCUGAUGCAGCGACGCCGCGUGGAGGAAGAAGGUCUUCGGAUUGUAAACUCCUGUUGUUGAGGAAGAUAAUGACGGUACUCAACAAGGAAGUGACGGCUAACUACGUGCCAGCAGCCGCGGUAAAACGUAGGUCACAAGCGUUGUCCGGAAUUACUGGGUGUAAAGGGAGCGCAGGCGGGCGAUCAAGUUGGAAGUGAAAUCCAUGGGCUCAACCCAUGAACUGCUUUCAAAACUGGUCGUCUUGAGUAGUGCAGAGGUAGGCGGAAUUCCCGGUGUAGCGGUGGAAUGCGUAGAUAUCGGGAGGAACACCAGUGGCGAAGGCGGCCUACUGGGCACCAACUGACGCUGAGGCUCGAAAGUGUGGGUAGCAAACAGGAUUAGAUACCCUGGUAGUCCACACCGUAAACGAUGAUUACUAGGUGUUGGGAGAUUGACCCUCUCAGUGCCGCAGUUAACACAAUAAGUAAUCCACCUGGGGAGUACGACCGCAAGGUUGAAACUCAAAGGAAUUGACGGGGGCCCGCACAAGCGGAGGAACAUGUGGUUUAAUUCGAUGAUACGCGAGGAACCUUACCCGGGCUUGAAUUGCAGAGGAAGGAUUUGGAGACAAUGACGCCCUUCGGGGCCUCUGUGAAGGUGCUGCAUGGUUGUCGUCAGCUCGUGCCGUGAGGUGUCGGCUUAAGUGCCAUAACGAGCGCAACCCCUCUCCUUAGUUGCCAUCAGGUUAAGCUGGGCACUCUGGGGACACUGCCACCGUAAGGUGUGAGGAAGGUGGGGAUGACGUCAAAUCAGCACGGCCCUUACGUCCGGGGCUACACACGUGUUACAAUGGCAGGUACAGAGAGACGGUCCCUUGCAAAACGGAUCAAAUCCUUAAAGCCUGUCUCAGUUCGGACUGGGGUCUGCAACCCGACCCCACGAAGCUGGAUUCGCUAGUAAUCGCGCAUCAGCCAUGGCGCGGUGAAUACGUUCCCGGGCCUUGUACACACCGCCCGUCAAGCCAUGAAAGCCGGGGGCGCCUAAAGUCCGUGACCGUAAGGAGCGGCCUAGGGCGAAACUGGUAAUUGGGGCUAAGUCGUAACAAGGUA